AAAAUAAUAGUAAACCGGAAGCUUGUCUUCUCUUUUCUUGAAGGCCAUGGCAUCUAUGGAACAGGUAGCAUUAAAAUCUUCAUAAAAAUCUAAUUCUUGCUACAUACCUUGCAACUUAGAAUAAUACUGGGAUAACGUCAUUUCCUUCUGCUUACUUUCAUGGAUCUUCUUACGUAGUUCAUAGACUUGUGCAGCCUUGCCAACCUGAGAAUAGGUAUCCUUGGCAGCCUUCCAGAUCUUGGCCGCCAUAUCCAACA